rnacentral:sRNA from 1 species
CUGCUUUGUCCUUUAGUUCACUUUGCAUUACUUGACUGCUAAGUAUAUGAUCUAGCUGACAAUGGACAUUAACACAAGCCAACAAUGUCAUAGGAGCAUCCAUGUGUCAAUUUUGCCCCAAACAUUACACUGAAUCAUGAAGGUCAACGCAUCUAAAGGACCAAAAUUCGUCAUUAGUGCUUUUUGGAGAUGUAUGCUAAUUCUUUAUCACGCAUGACUUUGUAAAUGUCAGUAAAACAAAAUGCAAUUGUCUUUA